rnacentral:rRNA from 1 species
GACGAGCGCUGGCGGCGUGCUUAACACAUGCAAGUCGAACGCGCCUGUCCUCUGGGUUUCUGGGGGGUGGGUGAGUGGCGAACGGGUGAGUAACACGUGAGUAACCUGCCCCCUUCUUCGGGAUAACGGUCUGAAAGGGCUGCUAAUACCGGGUAUUCACUGGUCUCCGCAUGGGGCCUGGUGGAAAGGUUUUUUUCUGGUGGGGGAUGGGCUCGCGGCCUAUCAGCUUGUUGGUGGGGUGAUGGCCCACCAAGGCUUUGACGGGUAGCCGGCCUGAGAGGGUGACCGGUCACAUUGGGACUGAGAUACGGCCCAGACUCCUACGGGAGGCAGCAGUGGGGAAUAUUGCACAAUGGGCGCAAGCCUGAUGCAGCGACGCCGCGUGAGGGAUGGAGGCCUUCGGGUUGUGAACCUCUUUCGCCCGUGGUCAAGCCGCGACGUGGGUCGUGGUGAGGGUAGUGGGUAAAGAAGCGCCGGCUAACUACGUG